GAUGAACGCUGGCGGCGUGCCCAAUACAUGCAAGUCGAGCGAACGGACGAGAAGCUUGCUUCUCUGAUGUUAGCGGCGGACGGGUGAGUAACACGUGGAUAACCUACCUAUAAGACUGGGAUAACUUCGGGAAACCGUAGCUAAUACCGGAUAAUAUUUUGAACCGCAUGGUUCAAAAGUGAAAGACGGUCUUGCUGUCACUUAUAGAUGGAUCCGCGCUGCAUUAGCUAGUUGGUAAGGUAACGGCUUACCAAGGCAACGAUGCAUAGCCGACCUGAGAGGGUGAUCGGCCACACUGGAACUGAGACACGGUCCAGACUCCUACGGGAGGCAGCAGUAGGGAAUCUUCCGCAAUGGGCGAAAGCCUGACGGAGCAACGCCGCGUGAGUGAUGAAGGUCUUCGGAUCGUAAAACCCUGUUAUUAGGGAAGAACAUAUGUGUAAGUAACUGUGCACAUCUUGACGGUACCUAAUCAGAAAGCCACGGCUAACUACGUG
rnacentral:rRNA from 1 species